rnacentral:rRNA from 1 species
CGCGUAGGCGGCUCUUCAAGUUAGGCGUGAAAGGCCUGGGCUCAACCUGGGAACUGCGCUUAAGACUGGAGGGCUUGAGUCCGGGAGAGGGUGGUGGAAUUCCCAGUGUAGAGGUGAAAUUCGUAGAUAUUGGGAGGAACACCGGUGGCGAAGGCGGCCACCUGGCCCGGAACUGACGCUGAGGCGCGAAAGCGUGGGGAGCAAACA